ACAUGCAAGUCGAACGAUGAACCACUUCGGUGGGGAUUAGUGGCGAACGGGUGAGUAACACGUGGGCAAUCUGCCCUGCACUCUGGGACAAGCCCUGGAAACGGGGUCUAAUACCGGAUACGAGUUUCACAGGCAUCUGUGAUUCUGGAAAGCUCCGGCGGUGCAGGAUGAGCCCGCGGCCUAUCAGCUUGUUGGUGAGGUAACGGCUCACCAAGGCGACGACGGGUAGCCGGCCUGAGAGGGCGACCGGCCACACUGGGACUGAGACACGGCCCAGACUCCUACGGGAGGCAGCAGUGGGGAAUAUUGCACAAUGGGCGAAAGCCUGAUGCAGCGACGCCGCGUGAGGGAUGACGGCCUUCGGGUUGUAAACCUCUUUCAGCAGGGAAGAAGCGAGAGUGACGGUACCUGCAGAAGAAGCGCCGGCUAACUACGUGCCAGCAGCCGCGGUAAUACGUAGGGCGCAAGCGUUGUCCGGAAUUAUUGGGCGUAAAGAGCUCGUAGGCGGCUUGUCGCGUCGGUUGUGAAAGCCCGGGGCUUAACCCCGGGUCUGCAGUCGAUACGGGCAGGCUAGAGUUCGGUAGGGGAGAUCGGAAUUCCUGGUGUAGCGGUGAAAUGCGCAGAUAUCAGGAGGAACACCGGUGGCGAAGGCGGAUCUCUGGGCCGAUACUGACGCUGAGGAGCGAAAGCGUGGGGAGCGAACAGGAUUAGAUACCCUGGUAGUCCACGCCGUAAACGGUGGGCACUAGGUG
rnacentral:rRNA from 1 species